CUUGCACUGACAAGGCAAGACCACCAGACUCCCCAGUUGACGCUUUUGAAAGUCCUCCAUCCAUCCAUCCACUCUCCCUCUUCUCCUUUUUCUCUCAUUUUUCCGAAAACCGAGUCCAACUUGUCGGAUUCGCAGACGGAGGCAAAGCCUAACUCUCUCAGGGCCUAGCUUGCACUCAUAAGAUAAAAGUGAUGGACUUUAUUUGACGAAUAAACAAAAAUAAAAAAUAAAAAAGAAUGAGAUUUCAACAUGAAUAUAAGGUUGACUCUUUGAGCGAAAUUCAUUAAAUCAUUUCUUGCGUCAUCUUGUACAUCAUUAUACAUGUCAUACAUACAUAAUCAUUACGUCAUUAUAUCUUAAAUGACAUAUUUUUCUCUCGCAACUUGGGUUGAGUUGGGGGCGGAGAGGGAAAAAUGGAACUACAUAUGUUAAGAACCUUCAACCCUUGUUUCUUUUUUCUUUUUUUUUUUUUCUUUUUUUUUCUUUUUUUUUGGUGGGUGAAUAAGAACCUUCAACCCUUUAACAAAGGAAGGUUUAUAACUUAUUGUAUAUUCUAAUAUUAUCCUUACUUCUUCCUCUUCUUCUUCUUCUUCUUCUUCUUCUUCUUCUUCUAAUAAAUUGUAUGUGCGUGUAUGAAGGUGGAUUGUUUUCUUGCUCCUAAGAUUUCUUUUUAAAGCAAUAAAUGAGCUUUCAAUGUUCUUUUCAAUUACGUGUCACAGUGCUAUUUAUUAUCACUUUUAUCAUAUUAUUAUUGACAUUGGCUGCAGCUGCUACGAUUUACUUAUUGCAGGACUCCAGGUGUAGAUUUUGAAUUUUGUACUGAUUCUUUCAAAAAUAAGUGAUGUCAUCUUCAAACUGAAUAAAGCCAAAAAAGUUCUCAACAAGCCUAGAAUUUAGUUUGAUACAUUUCUAUAUGCAUCUUGAUACUCUUAUCGGAAACAAUCCUAUUUUACAAAUUAAGAAUGGUUUGGAUUUGGCUAGCUAGCUCACUAUCUAACCAGGAAAAAUAAAAAAUUUGAAAUCUUACUAUAUCUAAAGUCAUGCCUGGCGUUUUCAUCAGAG